AGCACAAACUCGAAGUAGAGUAGAUUAGUACGGUCAACUGAUCCUACUAAUUUGUUCUACUUCGAAUUUGAGCCC
rfam:Haemonchus placei strain MHpl1 genome assembly, scaffold: HPLM_scaffold0000373